CGGCAGGCCUAACACAUAGCAAGUCGAGCGGUAACAGAAAGUAGCUUGCUACUUUGCUGACGAGCGGCGGACGGGUGAGUAAUGCUUGGGAACAUGCCUUGAGGUGGGGGACAACAGUUGGAAACGACUGCUAAUACCGCAUAAUGUCUACGGACCAAAGGGGGCUUCGGCUCUCGCCUUUAGAUUGGCCCAAGUGGGAUUAGCUAGUUGGUGAGGUAAUGGCUCACCAAGGCGACGAUCCCUAGCUGGUUUGAGAGGAUGAUCAGCCACACUGGGACUGAGACACGGCCCAGACUCCUACGGGAGGCAGCAGUGGGGAAUAUUGCACAAUGGGCGCAAGCCUGAUGCAGCCAUGCCGCGUGUGUGAAGAAGGCCUUCGGGGUUGUAAAGCACUUUCAGUCAGGAGGAAAGGUUAGUAGUUAAUACCUGCUAGCUGUGACGUUACUGACAGAAGAAGCACCGGCUAACUCCGUGCCAGCAGCCGCGGUAA
rnacentral:rRNA from 1 species